rnacentral:tRNA from 1 species
GUCCCUGGAGCUUAAUGGAUAGCGCGUUGGACUUUUAAUCCAAAGGUCGUGGGUUCGAAUCCCACCUGGGAUG